rnacentral:rRNA from 1 species
GACGAACGCUGGCGGCGUGCUUAACACAUGCAAGUCGAACGAUGAACCCGGAGCUUGCUCCGGCGGAUUAGUGGCGAACGGGUGAGUAACACGUGAGCAACCUGCCCUUGACUCUGGGAUAACUGCGGGAAACUGUAGCUAAUACCGGAUACGACCCUCGGCGGCAUCGCCAGGGGGUGGAAAGAAUUUCGGUCAAGGAUGGACUCGCGGCCUAUCAGCUUGUUGGUGAGGUAGUGGCUCACCAAGGCGACGACGGGUAGCCGGCCUGAGAGGGCGACCGGCCACACUGGGACUGAGACACGGCCCAGACUCCUACGGGAGGCAGCAGUGGGGAAUAUUGCGCAAUGGGCGAAAGCCUGACGCAGCAACGCCGCGUGCGGGAUGACGGCCUUCGGGUUGUAAACCGCUUUCAGCAGGGAAGAAGCCGCAAGGUGACGGUACCUGCAGAAGAAGCACCGGCUAACUACGUGCCAGCCGCCGCAGUAA